GAUGAACGCUGGCGGCGUGCCUAAUACAUGCAAGUCGAGCGAACAGACGAGGAGCUUGCUCCUCUGACGUUAGCGGCGGACGGGUGAGUAACACGUGGAUAACCUACCUAUAAGACUGGGAUAACUUCGGGAAACCGGAGCUAAUACCGGAUAAUAUAUUGAACCGCAUGGUUCAAUAGUGAAAGACGGUUUUGCUGUCACUUAUAGAUGGAUCCGCGUCGCAUUAGCUAGUUGGUAAGGUAACGGCUUACCAAGGCAACGAUGCGUAGCCGACCUGAGAGGGUGAUCGGCCACACUGGAACUGAGACACGGUCCAGACUCCUACGGGAGGCAGCAGUAGGGAAUCUUCCGCAAUGGGCGAAAGCCUGACGGAGCAACGCCGCGUGAGUGAUGAAGGUCUUCUGAUCGUAAAACUCUGUUAUUAGGGAAGAACAAAUGUGUAAGUAACUAUGCACGUCUUGACGGUACCUAAUCAGAAAGCCACGGCUAACUACGUG
rnacentral:rRNA from 1 species